rnacentral:rRNA from 1 species
ACGGGAGGCAGCAGUAGGGAAUCUUCCACAAUGGGCGAAAGCCUGAUGGAGCAACGCCGCGUGAGUGAAGAAGGAUUUCGGUUCGUAAAACUCUGUUGUAAGGGAAGAACAAGUACAGUAGUAACUGGCUGUACCUUGACGGUACCUUAUUAGAAAGCCACGGCUAACUACGUGCCAGCAGCCGCGGUAAUACGUAGGUGGCAAGCGUUGUCCGGAAUUAUUGGGCGUAAAGCGCGCGCAGGUGGUUUCUUAAGUCUGAUGUGAAAGCCCACGGCUCAACCGUGGAGGGUCAUUGGAAACUGGGAGACUUGAGUGCAGAAGAGGAUAGUGGAAUUCCAAGUGUAGCGGUGAAAUGCGUAGAGAUUUGGAGGAACACCAGUGGCGAAGGCGACUAUCUGGUCUGUAACUGACACUGAGGCGCGAAAGCGUGGGGAGCAAACAGGAUUAGAUACCCUGGUAGUCCACGCCGUAAACGAUGAGUGCUAAGUGUUAGGGGGUUUCCGCCCCUUAGUGCUGCAGCUAACGCAUUAAGCACUCCGCCUGGAGAGUACGGUCGCAAGACUGAAACUCAAAGGAAUUGAC